GGGCCCGCACAAGCGGUGGAGCAUGUGGUUUAAUUCGAUGAUACGCGAGGAACCUUACCAGGGCUUAAAUGUAACGGGACAGAUCUAGAGAUAGAUCCUUCUUCGGACUCAUUACAAGGUGCUGCAUGGUUGUCGUCAGCUCGUGCCGUGAGGUGUCAGGUUAAGUCCGGCAACGAGCGCAACCCACAUCCCUAGUUGCCAGCAGUUCGGCUGGGCACUCUAUGGAAACUGCCCGUGAUAAGCGGGAGGAAGGUGUGGAUGACGUCAAGUCCUCAUGGCCCUUACGGGUUGGGCUACACACGUGCUACAAUGGUAGUGACAAUGGGUUAAUCCCAAAAGCUAUCUCAGUUCGGAUUGUCGUCUGCAACUCGACGGCAUG
rnacentral:rRNA from 1 species